ACCGCUCAGUAACACGUGGCUAAUCUGCCCUUGGGACCGGAACACCCCCGGGAAACUGGGGCUAAUUCUCGAUAGGUGAAGAACUCUGGAAUGAGUCUUCGCCAAAAAGACGUUUACGUUAUGCUCGUAGGCGUCGCCCAAGGAUGAGGCCGCGACCGAUCAGGUUGUUGGUGAGGUAAUGGCUCACCAAGCCUUUUACCGGUGCGGGCCGUGAGAGCGGGAGCCCGGAGAUGGGCACUGAGACAAGGGCCCAGGUCCUACGGGGCGCAGCAGUCGCGAAAACUUUGCAAUACACGAAAGUGUGACAGGGCUAUCCCGAGUGCCAUCCGCUGAGGAAGGCUUUUACCCAGUCUAGAACGCUGGGGGAAUAAGGAGAGGGCAAGUCUGGUGUCAGCCGCCGCGGUAAUACCAGCUCUCCGAGUGGUGUGGAUGUUUAUUGGGCCUAAAGCAUCCGUAGCUGGCUAAGUUAGUCCCUUGUUAAAUCCACCGAAUUAAUCGUUGGAUUGCGGGGGAUACUGCUUGGCUAGGGGACGAGAGAGGCAGACGGUAUUUCCGGGGUAGGGGUGAAAUCCUAUAAUCCCGGGAAGACCACCAGUGGCGAAGGCUGUCUGCUAGAACGCGCCCGACGGUGAGGGAUGAAAGCUGGGGGAGCGAACCGGAUUAGAUACCCGGGUAGUCCCAGCUGUAAACGAUGCAGCUAGGUGUUUGGACGGCCACGUGCCGUUCUAGUUGCCGCAGGGAAGCUGUUAAGCCUGCCGCCUGGGGAGUACGAUCGCAAGAUUGAAACUUAAAGGAAUUGGCGGGGGAGCAG
rnacentral:rRNA from 1 species